UAUGCUUAGGGCUACACACGUGCUACAAUGGGUAGUACAGAGGGUUGCCAAGCCGUAAGGUGGAGCUAAUCCCUUAAAGCUACUCUCAGUUCGGAUUGUAGGCUGAAACUCGCCUACAUGAAGCUGGCGUUACUAGUAAUCGCAGAUCAGAAUGCUGCGGUGAAUGCGUUCCCGGGUCUUGUACACACCGCCCGUCACACCACGGGAGUUGGAGACGCCCGAAGCCGAUUAUCUAACCUUUUGGAAGAAGUCGUC
rnacentral:rRNA from 1 species